GACCCCGCCGCCCUCCUGAUGCUGCUUGUGAACGCCGAUCCGAGCCCGUGCGCAGCGGAGCGCGGGAGCUCGCGCUCUUCCUGACCCCCGAGCCUGGGGCCGAGGCGAAGGAGGUGGAGGAGACCAUCGAGGCCAUGCUCCUCAGGCUGGAAGAGUUUUGCAGCCUGGCUGACCUGAUCAGGAGUGAUACGUCACAGAUCCUGGAGGAAAACAUCCCAGUCCUUAAGGCCAAACUGACAGAAAUGCGUGGCAUCUACUCCAUAGUGGACCGGCUAGAGGCCUUCGUCAAGAUGGUCGGACACCAUGUCGCGUUCCUGGAAGCGGACGUACUUCAGACUGAGCGGGACCAUGGGGCCUUCCCGCAGGCCCUGCGGAGGUGGCUGGGACCCGCAGGGCUCCCCUCCUUCAGGAACAAGUCGCCUGCACCAGUACCCGUGACGUAUGAGCUGCCCACGCUGUACAGGACGGAGGACUAUUUUCCUGCGGACACCAGGGAGGCACAGCACCACCCCCGCACCUGCCCUCGGCCUUUGUGAGCUUUGUGGUCUUCCCAUCAGGAAUGCUGGAAAAGUGACAUUGUGUACAUGCUGCAGCUUGGGGGUUUUUUUCUUUGUAUUGCUGUUUAUUUUAUAUUUUAAAGAGAUUUUUUUAAAUGUCGA